UACGAAGGGGGCGAGCGUUGUUCGGAUUUACUGGGCGUAAAGGGCGCGCAGGCGGCUCAUUUUGUCAGGCGUGAAAGCCCCGGGCUUAACCUGGGGACUGCGUUUGAUACGGAUGGGCUAGAGUUCGGGAGAGGAGAGUGGAAUUCCCAGUGUAGAGGUGAAAUUCGUAGAUAUUGGGAAGAACACCGGUGGCGAAGGCGGCUCUCUGGACCGAUACUGACGCUGAGGCGCGAAAGCGUGGGGAGCAAACAGG
rnacentral:rRNA from 1 species